rnacentral:rRNA from 1 species
GGUGGAGCUAAUCCCAUAAAACUAUUCUCAGUUCGGAUUGUAGGCUGCAACUCGCCUACAUGAAGCCGGAAUCGCUAGUAAUCGUGGAUCAGCAUGCCACGGUGAAUACGUUCCCGGGCCUUGUACACACCGCCCGUCACACCACGAGAGUUUGUAACACCCGAAGUCGGUAGGGUAACCUUUAUGGAGCCAGCCGCCGAAGGUGGGACAGAUAAUUGGGGUGAAGUCGUAACAAGGUAGCCGUAUCGGAAGGUGCGGCUGGAUCACCUCCUUUCUAAGGAA